rnacentral:piRNA from 1 species
UGCCCAAUCACAGGAUCUAGCAUUUAU